rnacentral:rRNA from 1 species
CCCUGGCUCAGGACGAACGCGGGCGGCGUGCCUAAUACAUGCAAGUCGAGCGGAGUUGAUGAGAUGCUUGCAUCUCUGAUACUUAGCGGCGGACGGGUGAGUAACACGUGGGUAACCUGCCUAUAAGACUGGGAUAACAUUCGGAAACGAAUGCUAAUACCGGAUACGCGAUUUGGUCGCAUGACCGAAUCGGGAAAGAUGGAGCAAUCUAUCACUUAUAGAUGGACCCGCGGCGCAUUAGCUAGUUGGUGAGGUAACGGCUCACCAAGGCGACGAUGCGUAGCCGACCUGAGAGGGUGAUCGGCCACACUGGGACUGAGACACGGCCCAGACUCCUACGGGAGGCAGCAGUAGGGAAUCUUCCGCAAUGGACGAAAGUCUGACGGAGCAACGCCGCGUGAGUGAUGAAGGUUUUCGGAUCGUAAAGCUCUGUUGCCAGGGAAGAAUGCUUGGGAGAGUAACUGCUCCCAAGGUGACGGUACCUGAGAAGAAAGCCCCGGCUAACUA